rnacentral:tRNA from 1 species
UCAACUGUACUCUUGGUGGCUAGGAUAUACGGCUCUCACCCGAACGACCCGGGUUCGAGUCCCGGCAGUGGAU